rnacentral:rRNA from 1 species
CAAUGAAGGCAUACCGUGAGGAGUGCUGGAGCGCCAAGAAGUGAGGAUGUCGGGAUAAGUAGCGAGAAACAAUGUGAGAAUCAUUGUCGCCGAAAACCUAAGGUUUCCUAGAACAAUGUUCGUCAGUUCAGGGUUAGUCGGGCCUAAGCCGAGGCUGAAAAGCGUAGGCGAUGGACAUCCGGUUAAAAUUCCGGAACCAGGUUUUGGACGUCAGUGUAAGCGGUGACGCAGAAAGGUAAGGGAUCCCGUCUGAAGGAUGGCGGGCUAACAGCGUAGGGGUGUUCCUCCAGGAAAGUCCGGAGGGGCGUUAACCUGAAACUGGAAUGCGAGUGCCGGGCGACCGGUGCGAAGUCUCCCAACUACGCUGCCUAGAAAACCCGCGUAUACUGUCCAGAAUCUGCCCGUACCGUAAACCGACACAGGUGGGUGGGGUGAAAAUCCUAAGGCGCGCGAGUGAGACUUGGUUAAGGAACUAGGCAAAAUUAUCCCGUAACUUCGGAAGAAGGGAUGCUGCUUGUUAACUCAAGCAGCCGCAGUGAAAGGGGCAUCGUGACUGUUUAACAAAAACACAGGACUCUGCUGAAAUCGCAAGAUGAGGUAUAGGGUCUGACUCCUGCCCGGUGCUGGAAGGUCAAGGGGAGUUGUUAGCCGCAAGGCGAAGCGACGAACUCAAGCCCCAGUAAACGGCGGCGGUAACUAUAACCGUCCUAAGGUAGCGAAAUUCCUUGUCGGGUAAGUUCCGACCUGCACGAAUGGAGUAACAAAGAUGCCGCUGUCUCAACCAAGUGCUCGGCGAAAUUGUGGUACGAGUGAAGACGCUCGUUACGCGUGGUUAGACGAAAAGACCCCGUGGAGCUUUACUGUAACUUGNNCAGGCGGGCAGUUUGACUGGGGCGGUCGCCUCCUAAACGGUAACGGAGGCGUUCCAAGGUUCGCUCAGGGCGCAUAGUAAUCGCCCACAGAGUGCAUUGGCAGAAGCGAGCUUGACUGCAAGGCCUACAAGCCGGGCAGGGACGAAAGUCGGACAAAGUGAUCCGGUGGUACCUCGUGGGAGGGCCAUCGCUCAACGGAUAAAAGCUACCCCGGGGAUAACAGGCUGAUCUGGUCCAAGAGUUCACAUCGACGACCAGGUUUGGCACCUCGAUGUCGGCUCAUCGCAUCCUCCCGCUGGAGCAGGUGGGAAGGGUUGGGCUGUUCGCCCAUUAAAGCGGUACGUGAGCUGGGUUCAGUACGUCGUGAGACAGUACGGUCUCUAUCUACCAUGCGCGUUAGGAAACUUGAGAGGAGCUGUCCCUAGUACGAGAGGACCGGGAUGGACGAACCUCCUGUAUGCCAGUUAUCCCGCCAGGGGUAUCGCUGGGUAGCGGUGUUCGGAAGAGAUAAACGCUGAAAGCAUCUAAGCGUGAAACUCUCCUCAAGAUAAGGUUUCCCGGGUCGCAAGACCCCAUAAGGGCACAGGAAGACUACCUGUUUGAUAGGCUGCGAGUGUAAGUCCAGCGAUGGAUUAAGCGAAGCAGUACUAAUCGCCCGAGAGGCUUGGCC